UAAUAAUGAUGAAACAAAUUUGCCAGUUCUGCUUCUGAUUGAACAGGGAAGAUAACCUUUACCACUUCUGAUUC